UACGAAGGGGGCUAGCGUUGCUCGGAAUCACUGGGCGUAAAGGGUGCGUAGGCGGGUUUUUAAGUCAGAGGUGAAAUCCUGGAGCCCAACUCCAGAACUGCCUUUGAUACUGAAAGUCUUGAGUAUGGGAGAGGUGAGUGGAACUGCGAGUGUAGAGGUGAAAUUCGUAGAUAUUCGCAAGAACACCAGUGGCGAAGGCGGCUCACUGGCCCAUAACUGACGCUGAGGCACGAAAGCGUGGGGAGCAAACAGG
rnacentral:rRNA from 1 species